GAAGGUAUAUCUUAUCAUUCAAUUCGAGUUCUCUCGCGAUAUGUUUGCUCCUAUUUUGAGUGUCGAACCUUGAGUAAUACAUCGGAACAUGUCCUGUAGUGGGGGAUAUGUCGACGAAAGCCUGAUUAAUACCGCAUACGAUCUGCGGAUGAAAGCGGGGGACCUUCGGCCCUCGCCAUAUAGGCUUGGCCGAUGGCUGAUUAGUCUAGUUGGUGGGGUAAAGGCCUACCAAGGCGACGAUCAGUAGUUGGUCUGAGAGGACGUCCAGCCACACUGGGACUGAGACACGGCCCAGACUCCUACGGGAGGCAGCAGUGGGGAAUUUUGGACAAUGGGCGAAAGCCUGAUCCAGCAAUGCCGCGUGUGUGAAGAAGUCCUUCGGGUUGUAAAGCACUUUUGUCCGGAAAGAAAUCCUUGGCUCUAAUACAGUCGGGGGAUGACGGUACCGGAAGAAUAAGCACCGGCUAACUACGUGCCAGCAGCCGCGGUAAUACGUAGGGUGCAAGCGUUAAUCGGAAUUACUGGGCGUAAAGCGUGCGCAGGCGGUUUGCUAAGACCGAUGUGAAAUCCCCGGGCUCAACCUGGGAACUGCAUUGGUGACUGGCAGGCUAGAGUAUGGCAGAGGGGGGUAGAAUUCCACGUGUAGCAGUGAAAUGCGUAGAGAUGUGGAGGAAUACCGAUGGCGAAGGCAGCCCCCUGGGCCAAUACUGACGCUCAUGCACGAAAGCGUGGGGAGCAAACGGGAUUAGAUACCCUGGUAGUCCACGCUUAAACGAUGUCAGCUAGCUGUUGGGUGAUUCAUUUCCUUAGUAACGUAGCUAACGCGUGAAGUGAACAACAAGGGAGGCCGGCCGCC
rnacentral:rRNA from 1 species